AAAAAAGAAGCGUAGAGUGAAAAGGACAAAAAGGAGGCUUCCAACAUCCUGGUGGGAACAGAAAACCAGCAAAGCCUCUUUUCCAGCCCUUAUCCUUGUGAGUUUGGACUCUGCAGAACUGUCAUCCCCCAGGCAUAGCUGCAGCUUGUAUGAAGGUGGGCAUCAGGCGCGGAGAUUCAGGACAGUGUGCACCUGCUUUCCUCCAACGGGACCCCCUCUGUUCUUCCCAGGAAUGCCUGUAAACUGCCACUGCCUCUAGGGGCUGCACCAAGUCCCUGUGUACUCCCAGGACACAAUGGAGUGGAAUGGAGUGGCUCUGUUCUGUCAGGGCCUAACAUUCCAAAUGAAUUCAUUCCCUUCUGGGAAAAAAGAACCACCUUGCUCAGAGCACAAUGUUCCCAUGUCUUGGCUUACCUUGAAGCAUUUUUGAUACACCUGUUGGGACAAUGCGUUCUGCCAAGAGAAGGGAAGUAGCAUACUUUGUUCUAUUUUUUACUCUCAAUGGGCUACGUUUCCAUUGUGUUGGUUUCCCUUACAGAAAGUAACACACACAGAAGAGAAGGUUAUAGGAUUCCAUGCUGCUUGGCAAAGGCACAAAAUAUGUGCACAUAUUUACAUGGAAUAUGAGGGUAAACUAGAAAAUUAAGGGUAAUCUAAAAUAGAAAAAAAGAAGAAAACAAUAAGUUAAAAGUAUGAAAAGACAUCCAGAAUGAGCAAGUUACUGAGGUUGUGCCUCAACUUUAGCUUGAGUUUCCUGGCAGCAAAGGUAAAAAGAAAGAGCACAGUGGCUGCAGCACAGAGCGUGAAUUGAGGGGAGCAAGACUGGCCACGGCGAGAAGGCAACACGCAGGUGAUCUUACAGCUGGAAAAUCAGUGGGUGAAAACGGAGAUACAGCAACUCUCACAGUGACGGGCUCUUGGCAGUCUGAAGAAGCAUGAACCAGAACUAAGCCUGGUCUCUCAGGAUUUGGUGGAUGUCUAAGUUGCAGGGUUAAGAAGUUGCAGUUCCUUCUUUCAACUCAACCUCUAGCAGUUGGAUACAGAAGCAAUUGUCGAACCUGGGCACCUAAGGGGACAGGACUGUCAGUGUCCUGGAAAUCAUGUUCUUCUCUUUGGUUUUCACCACCUCUUAAUGGCAUAUCUUCUAUAUUUCCUUUAAUGCGAACACAGGUAACGAGUUGGUUAUAACCCUUUUCUCAGGGCCAGGCUGCCAUGCCAUCGCUCCUCCAGAGAGCAAACACGAAACAUGAUCCUAUGGCAAGAACAUACAAUGCCAGGUCCCUGGAUUUAGGUCCUGCUCUGUCAUUGACUGUAUAUUCCCAUAAAGAAGAUUAAAACUCUCCACGCCUUGGUUUCCCUGUUUAUACAGGACAAGGGUAGUAACCCCUGGGCUCUGUGCCUUGUUAGUGACUCGCAAUGGUAAAGCAGGGGAAUGAACUGAAAGCCUUACAGAAAUGUAAGGUCUUCCGCGUCAUUAGAUGCUGUGAGACAAUGGAAACCAACUCAAAUGCCUGGCGCCCUUAGAGCCGCUGAUGGAACUGAACAAACUGCUAUUGCUUUACACUCCCAAUGGAAGGGUGCUGGCUCUCAGUGUUUGCCCUUACCUCUCCUCCUCUUCUAUAAACACAGGACUCCAUUCUGAAAAUUGUCACAGAAUUGUCAAUUCCUCUGACCCACAGUGUUAGAUGUCCAGUGGAAUUGACAGGACAUCAUACAUUUCAAUUAGUUCCACUCUCCAUUGCUCUGGAGGGUGAGGUGCUACCUCACCUUCACGGGGAAGACCCAAUGUUCCAAGGAUGUGCAGCGCGGGAGGGCCCCAAACCAUUCAGACCAUACUCAUGUUAAGGCCCAUGUAACGGUGGGGUGUGCUCAAGGGCAGAAAAUAGCCCUGUGUGCUUUGAAGGCAAGUGUGUGCAAACAUACCCAAUAACAGACAUGUUUUGUGUAUGAUACUAUAUUCCCAUAUUGUCAAUUUUUCUUAAAUUAGUAAACAAUGACUAACAGAAGUGGUAACUGCCUAUAUUUGAAUUUAUG
rnacentral:lncRNA from 1 species